CUUCCGUCGUCUCGUUUCCAGCCGAAACCGCCUCCUCCUCUCCCGUCUACAACCGGAGAACCUCAACCGACCAAGAAAACACAACCAACGCGAGCCCGUCUCCCUCCUCUCUCCUGAAUCCCAGUCGAGCUCCUCAGUCUCUCCCUCCACCUACCCACCCGCGCCGCCCCAGCCUCCUCUCCCAUUGCCGGCCCCCACCCACCCAACGCCGCUUCCCUUGCUAGCAGCACCCCUGUCGGCUUGAAGUCUAGGACGACGUGGCUCUGCCCUCCACGGCUCCGGCUGGGCCUUGUUCUUCUUGCUUGCGCCAUCAAGCACCACUCCUUGCAGUCCCCCGGCACCUUCCGCCUCCAAUCCAUGGAGGGAGGGCUUCACCGUCGACCCCAUCUCGUCUUCUCCUCGGAAGUGCUUCCGUGGCUGGUCCCCCAUGGGGUUCUCAGAUCAUCUGCAGCGGCAAGCUGGUGAUGUCCCCGGAGAGAAUGCCACUAUAAUAUCCUUGUGGCCUGCUGCUUCAUCGUUGAUGACCAUGACUUCCUCGUGGUACGUUGUCUAGUUUUCUUUAUGGCUUGCAACUUCCUCACAAUAGUUGCCGAAGCCUUUCAACAUGAGAAUGGAAAACUGGAAGCUUGCAUUCUCUCAAGACAACAACUUCAGUAUGCUGCUAGUGAUGUCUACAUCUCAGGUACUUCAGAUUAUUCCGGAUUAUAAUGUUGAUGUUGAAAAGGAGAUUGUUUGGGGAACAUGGCUGCAGAUACACUAGUCUUUUGUAACUUAACUUCUCAACCAUAAUGUCAACUCCUUUAUUGUACAUUUGAACCUGUUUUUCCACUUCUCACUAGUAUUUACAGCACGGCCCGCCUCUGCCCCUUAUUCGAUAUGGUUCGAGAAUUUGACAUGGGAGUGUUGUUGCUACUUCAAGUGUUCAGGGGAAACAAAAUGGUGCCAAAUCGAGCAGAAGGUCAUUGCAGAAAUUUCUUGAGCACUUGUUGGAUCCAACACGGUGCAGUGAUGGCCACCAAUGUCGGACAUUGUUUGCCCGGUGCUCAUGCCCCG